AGCCCGCUGCUCUAGAGUUCACUAUCAUGCUUUAGGAAUUUCCAUUUUUUUCAUUUUGGAAAAAAAACAAAAAAACAAAAACAAAAACAGUCUGUUACUAUUCGUUUUUAUUACUUCAUUCCCACGAUAGUGGAAAAACAAAACUUAUUCUAUAAUGUCACGUUUAGUAUACUUAGUCUUCUUGCUAGCAGUGGCAAAAGCUAGCAGGAACACUUUACAGCAAAAGACUGAAGUCGACGCAGGAAAGCCCAAGUUAGCAGGUAUCAUAGUAAAAGCUAGCAGGAAGACUUUACCCCAAAAUACUAAAGUCGACGCAAAAAAAGAGUCCAAGUUAGAAGUCACAAUAAAGCUACCAAGGAAUGUAACCAUUCCGGGAGUCAUAGCAUUUGGGGAUUCAAUAGUGGAUAGUGGAAACAAUAACAAUCUCCGUACAAUAUUGAAAUGUAACUUCCCUCCGUACGGUCAAGAUUUUCAGGGUAAAUUUGCUACCGGAAGAUUUACUGAUGGAAGAGUUCCAUCUGAUUUCGUGGCCGAAAGGUUAGGAAUAGCUAAAACAAUACCAGCAUACUUAGAUCCUGCGCUGAAAGGCAAGGAUCUUCUAAAGGGUAUAAAUUUUGCUUCGGGUGGUUCUGGUUACGAUCCUUUGACAGCUAAAAUAGUGAGAGUGGUAUCCUUAGAGGAUCAAUUAAAAUAUUUUCAAGAGUAUAAAGAAAAAAUAAAAGCAAUAGUUGGGGAGGAGAAAGCUAAAUUUAUGGUGGAAAACAGCCUUUAUCUCGUCGUUGCCAGCAGUAAUGAUUUAGCUCAUACCUAUAUCGCACGUUCUCUCAGAUAUAACAGCACUGAAUAUCCUGAUUAUUUGGCUGAUAUGUCUUCUAAAUUUGUGAAAAAGCUAUAUGGACUUGGAGCCCGAAGAAUUGCAAUAUUUAGUGCAGUUCCGGUUGGAUGUUUACCAUCACGCAGAACUCUUAAUGGAGUAAAGAGAAAAUGCUCGGAAAACCUAAACAAGAUGGCUCUUCAGUUCAAUGCAAAACUAUCGCCAGGAUUGGUGGCUUUACGAAAAAAGUCACCGGGGAGUAAAAUUGUAUUUGUUGACGUAUAUGACAUUCUUCAUAACAUGAUUGAAAAUCCUAAAAAAUAUGCUCCGUUAAGGUCGCUGGUGAGGCGGACCUCCAUGACAGCUCUGGAUCCUGGUGACUCGUCGGAAUUGAUGGUGGUUUCCCUCUACCUGAGGACUAUGGAGGCUCGCUAGAGACUGUACAAGUUAGUUUUUGGGAUCUAGGUUUUUGAUAAUUGGCGGUUUUGGGGUGCCCUGGCGACAUCGAAUCUACCAAUGAGGAUGGCGGUUCCUCGGGGUUAGCAUCCUCUUUGUCGUGGGUUUCCCCUCGACUAGAUUGAAGCUGGGCGGCACGCUAUUGUGGAGAUCUACUGACGACGGAGACACAAACAGAAGGAAACAUUGGGUUAAAGAGUCGGUUCUUCUUCGUGAUACCGACAUUGUUGGCCGCAUGACUCCUCCGAUGGCGGCACACUGACUAUUAACUGGGUCUGGAUCCACCGGUCAGCUUUGGACACAUUGACCGUCGAGAAAGACCCUAGACAUUUAAGUGGAUGUUGCUUGUGUCCAUUAGAGUUUGGAGCCUUGGGCUUCAUCGGACUUGCUCCGGCUUCGAUAUAUGUUAAUAUCAGCAAUCUUUUGGAAUUGAAGAAGAUGAGAAAUGGGAUAGUGGACUCGACGCGUCAGUGGCCAUGGAUUUUAUGGUGUAUAUAGAAGUCAAGGAAUCACCUCCUGUUUGAGGGCACAAACUUCACCCCAAGGAAGGUCAUAGACAAGGCUAAAACUGAUGAGAGGGAGUGAAGAUUGGCACAGGAGAUGGAGGAAGAAGCUCAGAGUGCAGAGCCUGAGAAACGGCCAAAAUCACUUAAAAAGUGGUUUCCCCCGCCUUAGGAGUGGUUGAUGUGUAAUAUUGCAUAUGAUUGGAACAAAGAGGGAUCGAUGAUGGGAGCGGCCUGGUAUUGAGGAAUGACAGAGGGGUGGUUAUUUGCCAUAGUAGAAGGGCCUUCUCAAAUAUCACUUCCAAGGAUGGAGCAAAACUCCAAGUUAUCUUAUGGGCAGUUGAGAGUAUGCGAAGCAUGAGAUACUACAAAGUGAUGUUUGCAAGAGAAUUUGGAGAUCUUUUUGGCGCAGUGAAUAGGCCGGAUGCAUGGCCCUCUUUAUUGUUUCAGGUGAGAGAAAUAGAGAGUGAAGCAAUUGGAAUGAGAGAGGCACGCUGGGUGGUGGUCUCUAGAGGACAAAAUAGAGGUGCAACUUUGAUAGCUCAAAGUGUUAACAAAGGAUUGAUGCAAUCUUAUGUUGCUAGAAGUCAUCCGGAGUGGUUGUUUGAGGUAUUUGUCAAUGAAAGUCGUGGCCUCUAAUUUUUUUGGUGGGUAUAGGCUAGGUGCCUCUCUUUUGGGCGCUCCCUGCAAUUUGUUGCAGGUGAUGAUAGGAGAUAGCUGUGGUUGUUGCUAUCAGGUUGUAAUUCUGGAACUGUUAGUUGAAUGAAUCAAUGAAUGUUCAGGUGAAAAAAAAAGA